ACAUUAAUAGUAUAAUUAUAAUAUAUUGGAUUUAGAAUCCAAAGAUUUAGUUAUGUA
rnacentral:tRNA from 1 species